AAAUGAGAACGAAACCCUAAAUCUGAAGAAGAAGAAAAGAGACCACUUCUCUCUCCUGAAGGUCUAAUCUAUCUUCAAAGCCGCCACCGGUCUAAUGCUUCAAUUUUACUCUUCAUAUCCGACGAUUAGAAGAAAAUGGUGCUGGAGUUCUUCGUUUUCAAGAGGCUUGGCAAUUUACUAAUUUUGGAAGGGAAGUCUUGGGUAGAAAUAAAUCACCUGGUGCUCCACUUGGAAACUGUUAUGAAAGUUGGAGUUGCAAAAAAUGAUAUGGCUGGAAGAAAUCGUGAUCUUGGCAUGGGAGGCAUAGGAAAAGUUACUUCUUGAUUACUCUACUUACAAGGAAAUGUGUAUUGACUUUCUUGAGUCCAUGGAAAUUAAUAUUGCUAUGGAUUGCCGAAGGGUUUGUAGAGAACGUCAAGUAAAAGAGCAUAGAGAAAGUUGCACACUAGAUUAUCUAAUGGAACUAUUGCAUAAUAUAUUGCUCGAUUUGUGCUUGAGAAUAGCCGAAAUGGUAAUAUUUUAAUUUAGUAGAAAAAGUACAUUGAUAUUCUUAAAAUUGAAAAAAUUGAUAUUAAUAAGGGUUGUUGAAGGAUAUAUAUAUCAAAAUAGAGCAAAAGAUCUCAGAGAUAUUGUAUACUAGAAUAUCUAAUUGAGUUACGCUAAUAGCUUUGUAUUAGUUGUCAAUCGAAAAUAUGAUGGUGGAAUUAAAACUUGUAAUAUACUUGAUUUAUUAUGUUACAUGUGUUUAAGAAUAGACAAAUAAUGAAUAUUUUUAAUAGAGAUCCAAUAGUAUACUCUCUC